rnacentral:rRNA from 1 species
UACAGAGGGUGCAAGCGUUAAUCGGAAUUACUGGGCGUAAAGCGCGCGUAGGUGGUUCGUUAAGUUGGAUGUGAAAUCCCCGGGCUCAACCUGGGAACUGCAUUCAAAACUGUCGAGCUAGAGUAUGGUAGAGGGUGGUGGAAUUUCCUGUGUAGCGGUGAAAUGCGUAGAUAUGCGGAGGAACACCGAUGGCGAAGGCAAUCCCCUGGGCCUGCACUGACGCUCAUGCACGAAAGCGUGGGGAGCAAACAGG